UUACACAUCAUUGUACAAUGAGAGCCAAUCUAACCUUGUGCGGUGUGCGUAUUGAUUGGUAUUUCACUUUCUUCUCUGGGCUUGUGGGACUUUGAGUAUUGCAUUGUAUGUCAACAAGUGAAUGUCACUUCUUUGGAGGAGGUGAUGAAGCACUUCAUGCAAACCUUAUUGGAGAAAGCAGAGUGGGCGCAAGAUUGGAAGUAUCUUUUCAUACAUAUCGGGGAUAAGCUUUGCUUCAGCAUCUUCAGUGCCAGAAGUGCAGUUGGCCCAAUAUGUUCCUGUCCUGGAAAGAAUUGCCACCCUGAGGUUGCUUAAGCAAGUGCUUUAAAGUGCUCAAGAUUAUUUAUUCUCUCAUUAUGUGUACUAUAAAGAAAAAUAUAUAUGUCAUUCUUGUGGAAAAUGCAGAUGAAUGUAUUUCAUUUUCAUAUUAUUAUAA